AAGUGUUGGACAGGUCAUUUCCUGUCCCCAGAGGCAGGAUGGUCACCCUUGGCAUAAACUGGUCCUGGCCCUGACACAGGAGAGUAUAAGAGCAGCAGAGACAGUCCCAUCUGACCUUCAGCUUCAUAGUAUCGAUGGCAUCCAGCACCCAGCCCACUGUGCCGUCGCCCCCACACACCAGCACCCGGACACUGCCGGGGGGCAGCAGGGUGCACAGCUGGAGGGCUUUGGAGGGAGUCAGCUCAGACAGGUCAAACACCUGAAGGAGAGGAGGGAGAUAAGACAGGUUUAAAUCAUGUUUUGUGCAGAAAUUGAAAAGGUCCCAUAUUGUAAAAAAGUGAGAAUUCCAUCUACUUUUUGAUUAUAAAGCAGGUUGAUGUGUUAUAUA